GACGAACGCUGGCGGCGUGCUUAACACAUGCAAGUCGAACGAUGAUGCUGGAGCUUGCUCCAGUUGAUUAGUGGCGAACGGGUGAGUAACACGUGAGCAAUCUGCCCUUGACUCUGGGAUAACUGCGGGAAACCGUAGCUAAUACCGGAUACUUUCACCGGGGGGCAUCCUCUGGUGAUGAAAGAAUUUCGGUCAAGGAUGAGCUCGCGGCCUGUCAGCUUGUUGGUGAGGUAACGGCUCACCAAGGCGACGACGGGUAACCGGCCUGAGAGGGUGACCGGUCACACUGGGACUGAGACACGGCCCAGACUCCUACGGGAGGCAGCAGUGGGGAAUAUUGCACAAUGGGCGCAAGCCUGAUGCAGCAACGCCGCGUGAGGGAUGAAGGCCUUCGGGUUGUAAACCUCUUUUAGCAGGGAAGAAGCGAAAGUGGCGGUACCUGCAGGAAAAGCACCGGCUAACUACGUGCCAGCAGCCGCGGUAA
rnacentral:rRNA from 1 species